rnacentral:rRNA from 1 species
GACGAACGCUGGCGGCGCGCUUAACACAUGCAAGUCGAGCGAAGCGGCGGACGGGUGAGUAACACGUGAGUAACCUGCCUUUGACACAGGGAUAGCCUCGGGAAACCGGGAUUAAUACCAGAUAGUCAAAGAUGGACUAGUGUCGCAUUAGCUAGUUGGUGUGUACUAGCCUACCAAGGCAACGAUGGGUAGGCGGCCUGAGAUGGUGAACGGCCACAUGGGAAGUGAGAAACGGUCCAAACGCUACGGGAGGCAGCAGUGGGCAAUAUUGCACAGUGGGGGAAACGCUGAUGCAGCGACGCCGCUUGGGCGAAGAAGGUUUUCGAAGCGUAAAGCUCUGGCCUAUGUGAAGCGGUACCAUAGGAGGAAGCCCCGGCUAACUACGUGCCAGCAGCCGCGGUAAUAC